AACGUAGGUGGCGAGCGUUAUCCGGAUUUACUGGGCGUAAAGCGCUUGUAGGUGGUUUUGUAAGUUGGGCGUGAAAUCUCCGGGCUUAACUUGGAGAGGCCGUCCAAUACUGCGAGGCUAGAGGUUAUUCGAGGAAAGUGGAAUUCCUGGUGUAGUAGUGAAAUGCGUAGAUAUCAGGAGGAACACCCGUGGCGAAGGCGGCUUCCUAGGAUAUACCUUGAC
rnacentral:rRNA from 1 species